rnacentral:rRNA from 1 species
AGUGAACGCUGGCGGUAGGCCUAACACAUGCAAGUCGAACGGCAGCACAGUAAGAGCUUGCUCUUACGGGUGGCGAGUGGCGGACGGGUGAGGAAUACAUCGGAAUCUACUUUUUCGUGGGGGAUAACGUAGGGAAACUUACGCUAAUACCGCAUACGACCUACGGGUGAAAGCAGGGGAUCUUCGGACCUUGCGCGAUUGAAUGAGCCGAUGUCGGAUUAGCUAGUUGGCGGGGUAAAGGCCCACCAAGGCGACGAUCCGCAGCUGGUCUGAGAGGAUGAUCAGCCACACUGGAACUGAGACACGGUCCAGACUCCUACGGGAGGCAGCAGUGGGGAAUAUUGGACAAUGGGCGCAAGCCUGAUCCAGCCACACCGCGUGGGUGAAGAAGGCCUUCGGGUUGUAAAGCCCUUUUGUUGGGAAAGAAAAGCAGCAGGUUAAUACCCCGCUGUUCUGACGGUACCCAAAGAAUAAGCACCGGCUAACUUCGUG